rnacentral:lncRNA from 1 species
UCAGCCCAAGCUACGGAACUGCUAUUCCAGUUCAAAACCCAUGUUAAAAAGUGAACUAUUUCCUUUAACCAUGGACCAACGAAUGAUAAAUUUCUGCCUUUAAAUUGUUCGCAAUCAGUUGCUUCCGUCUUCCACCAAGCUUCAAUUUGAAUUAAUGGCUGUUUUCUCUCUUCUGAUAGACAACACUUUUUGAGUUAAGAUAACUCACAGAACUGUUUUCCUUGUAUAGAAGAGCAAUGCGCAAAUCAAACUGAUAAGCUCGGAAUGAUACUCCCAACAUGUCAAUUUAUUUUGUCACUUGUUGCCCACUGUCUGGAUGGUCUGGAUUAUGUGUCUGGAAAAACUCCUGGGUUCAAUCUCUCAAAAUGCUGUAUAUGUGCAUAUACCACAGUUGGUAACAUUCAAAACUAUUCAGCAUUCAUUUAUUCAUUCCUUCAUCAUUAUUCAUUCAUGCAACAUUCAUGAUCAGUUACGGUAGGUAUCAAAAUCAUUGGGCAUGAUUAGCUUGGAUGCAAAUAAAAGAGGUAUCCUUGAUAUCAGUGCCGUUAACUCCAGCCAGUGCUGCCAAAUCCUAUAUACAUAACGGCAUUGGUGACUGAGCCUGGGGCCUGGGCCCUGUACAAAGGAAUAAUUUUUAGCAAAUUUUAGAUUCCUAAUGAAUAAAAUUAGGUGUCGUGAUUGAUGGUAAAAAACUGAAUCAUGUAAGAGUUUUUUGUGUAUAGUGAAAAUGGGCCUGUCUUGUCUCUUUUCUUGAGUUUAAUUAUGCAAUGAUGGCAAUCAUAUAGUAUUGAUAUCCAGAUUACCCAAACUAGCAAAUUGUGCCAUUCCAUGCUGCAUCCUGAUACCAGAAAAUGGCAACUUUUCCAACCUUGGACUGACUGGAGAGUGGAGUGACAUCCAUUGGGGCAGGCCGUAGUCAUCCCCAUCGGGCCCUGCGUGCACGGUUCUCAGCGGGCGGCAGGGACAAAUGACGUCACCGAGGGUGCACUUUGAUCCUGGCUUGUUGUGUCAUAAAUUGAUGUUUCUCUACAUAAAAAUCCAUUUCAAAUCAAAGAACAGCAGUUAUUCUUUCAUUUUUGUUCACUAGCAUUGGCUGUUGAAUGCUUUUUGAGAAAAGAAAUGCCUUUUAGUGUUUGCAGUGAAUUAGUGGGCAAUGUCAAAUCGUUGCAGUGUUUUAGAGGACAUUUUAACGGAAUUGACGGCUCUGGCGCAGAUGUUUCAAACAAAAAGUUUUGAAAAACAGUGAUAAAUUCCGUUGAUAUUAUAUUAUUUAUCUUGGUCUGUGAGCAAUGAGCAUAAACUGUGAAAAAUGGAGUGAGGUCAUGGAUGAAGUAUUCCUAAUCCUCAGGAAUACCUAAUCCAUGGUGAGGUUGAGCCAAGUCAUAGCCAGAUCAUUAUCAACUUGUACUUGUAGUCAUGGUAAUGUGGUCGAUCAAAGCAAAUGAUGAACUGAACUUUUUAAAGGUAUCUAUAACCUAUCCAAAGAGAAGAACAUGCUGUAAGGCUAGAUUUCUCAAUGUAAGCAGUCUGUUCCAAGCACUGUUCUUCUGAAAAUGUUCAUCCAGACAUCCGACCAGCAACCUAUCCAGUGAUGCUGUGGCUGAUGGCGGAGGCAAAGCACCAACUGUUCUUGGUGCCUGGUGUGUGCACAAGUAGAUGAGUGCCGUUCAUCGCCGCCGUCUUUCUGGACCUUCGCUCAUCGCCGUCGUCUGUCGGGGCCUGCAAUUCGGUCGUCGCCGUCUGCCGGGGCCAGCCAGCUCCAGAUUGAUUCCUGCCUAUCGCCGCCGUUUGCGGGGACCUGCAAUGUCGCUGCCGUCGUCAGCCAGAGAAGCUGGUCACAGUCAUCGAAGAGCAGUGAUCUCCGCCGUUCGAAGAGCUGUGUAAUAUAUAUCAUGUGUUGUCGCCUGUCAGUCCCCAGUGGAGUUCUCAUGUGCUGUCCGUCGACUGGCGAGUCCCAUGAUAUGACAUCUGAGGAUCACCCACCGGCCACCGUUUACCGGCGACUCUGAGGGCCGUCAGCCCCGAGUCCCUAGAUAUCCUCAGCUCGCACCCGGCAGCAGUCUCUGUCGCAUCUGGAGUGUAUUCUAUUCUAAAAUACUUGAUGCAUUGCGCUGCUUCUUGUGUUAAUAUGUUGGGAAACUUGGAAAGUGUUAACAACGGUAUAUGUGCGAAGUGGAAGCCGUGUAAAGUCGUCUGCGUAUUCAUUUCAACGGUGGUUAAUGCGAAGUGAUAUUGGUCGAAA